rnacentral:rRNA from 1 species
GAUGAACGCUGGCGGCGUGCCUAACACAUGCAAGUCGUACGAGCUCGAUCUUCGGAACGGGUUAGUGGCGCACGGGUGAGUAACACGUAGGUGACCUACCCCAGAGUGGGGGAUAACUUCUCGAAAGAGAGGCUAAUACCGCAUACACUCGGUCAUUCAUUUGGCCGAGCAAAGCUCUGGCGCUUUUGGACGGGCCUGCGUCCGAUUAGCUAGUUGGUAGGGUAAUGGCUUACCAAGGCUUUGAUCGGUAGCUGGUCUGAGAGGACGAUCAGCCACACUGGCACUGACACACGGGCCA